AACGCGUUGGAAAACCAUCUAUAAAUAGGAAUUCGCCUAGGUUUAAUCAAACAGUUGCUUGGAGCCUCAGAGAAUCCUUAACUCUCACGCAUCGAAACUCAAGCCAACUUCCAAGAAGCGCCAUGGGAAACUGGUUCAGAGGAAUAAUGUGUUUAAGCAACGUUCUCUUCGUCGUCGUUCUUAUCCAACUUUUGGUGGUUUCUUCAUAUUCCGAGGCUGUCGACGACAAUGUGGAACUAGGGGAAGCACGGAAUAUUAUCGUGCCGCGCCAGAAAUGUCCACCUGGUGAGGUGAUGACUCCAAGGGGAUGCGCACCCUCUGGGCCCAGCGGAUAAACUCGAAGCAAGAGGAACUGGAUUCAACCGCAUCGGCAAAGCGAUGAAUGUACUUGCUACAUUUUAUAUGCUAUAGGAAUUCUAUUUCUUGUUUCGAUUUGAAUAAACGGAAUAUACAAAACA
rnacentral:lncRNA from 1 species